UGCAGUUUCUUGGUUGAAAACAAUCAUAUUUGCUUUUGCCGGUCUUUAUUAUUUUCCACCAGCUAGUGAUGCAGCAUUUGUGUCACGUGACGUCAGGAUCGCCGUGACCAAUUGCAUACAUGCAUAUACCUUAUGAUGACCAUCUUGAAUCUGCCACUUCACAUUCUUCGUCGAACACGUCUUCUCUUUGUGGCAGGUCAUCGACCUCUUGUGUAGCAUAAUACUGCAAUAUUUUAUGUUGGUUUGUUUACUUUGCGUAUUCUUUUUAUAUUUGAAGAAGCUUGCUUGACAAACGAUCAAUAAAGUAUGCAACGUUGACGAUGCUUUUCUCCCACUAGCAUUGAUUUGGCGGUUUUCCAAGGAUAAGAAAUGUUAACCAAGAAUACUUGGUGACUACUUUACGCUACCAUACCUUAUCAUCGGUACUUAUGUGAAAUGUAACGUGAACCUCCUAGACCAUGCCACAAUUUGUGAAGAAUAGCCGUUUAUAGGUAGUAGUAGAUGCAGUAGCCUAAGCAUAGUGCUUAUUUUAAUAAAUCUUAGGAGAAUAUCACUUCAAUGAAAUUGCGCUUUGAAUAAAAAAAAUUAAGUCAUUACUGUACAACAUGAUUGCUUUUAUAAGACUUGUAUAAAACAAGUCUUAUAAAAGCAAUCCAACUUCAAAUAAUACUAAAUAUUGAAACAGAGGGGUCUAACAAACAAAUUCAUUUCAAACGAAGUUGACUCAAGCGCUUUUUUGAAUCUUAGUUUAGCGACCUUUAAUGUGUUUUUUAAUAAUAUCAAUGCACAAUGGUAAUUCAAUGCAUAAACUAAGCAUAGAACCAGUUUGUUCACAUUUUACUGAUCACUAAAUUGAUUCUAUGAUGAAAUUGCUGAUAUUUUACAAUUUAGGUGCUUUUCUCUCCAUUUUGUAUUCCUCGUAAGUAUAUUAACUAUACCAAAUAUCCAAAAAAGGGUUUAAGAAUAGGGUUAGGUUAGGUUAGGGAUUAGGAAUGGCAGAUAUGGUAAAAUACGAGAAUCUUUAGACAAAUUGCUAACUAUUGUAUAGUUUGGAUAAUUUUCUUAAGUGGGGUUUUCCUUCACCACAAGUAUAUUUUUUGAGUGUAUAGGUAGAUAUGUAUUUUUGUUACGUCGGUAACCACAAAAGAGAUUAUAUUUAACUACUAAGAGGAGCAAAACGCUACUGUCUCCAUGUGUUCACGGACCGAAACAUGCACUAGCAUAUUGUAUCCCAUUACUUUGACAUGUGUACGUGUGUGUCAAACUAAUGGGCCUAGCAUAUGUACGAGCGAGAUGAUAAAUUAUCAGUGUUAACAGCGACAUGCGACCUCUAAGAAGUUACAAUCUCUUUUGUAACGACGCAUUCAUAUUAAUCCAUUUCAAAUGUAGUAAAAUGAAUUGUUCCCUUCUAGUUUAUCAGCGUACAUUGCAUCAGACGUUCUCAGGAACAAUACUUCCAAACAUUUCAGCCACGCUCAAGAUUAAUUGUUGACUGUCUGGUGUAUUUCGACGGGAUUGAAGUUUUUUUUUGUUUCAAUAUGACCAAUAAUUUAUAGUAUUUAUUUACUUUUAUAAGUAACUAGCUAAUACCCAUCGCGCGUUGCUGCGACACUCUGCGAAAUAGGAGGAAAACACAAUUUGUUCCAAAGCGCCAUCUGGCGGGCAGAUAAUCUUCAACUAAAACCACACAAACACGCCCCAUACCAAAUACCUACUGUGUGCAAAUUUUUACGGAAAUCGGUUAAGCCGUUUGGGAGUCUAUAAAUCAUAUACAUACAAACAUUGACUUUUAUAUAUAUAUAUAGAUUUAUUCAUUUAUCAUGUCUUUAGGAAAUAAUAAAAUAUAUAAGUAAUUUUUAUCUAUAAUUUCAAAUCACAAAUCCAACCUAGAAUUAACUAAAUAAUCAACUGGUACAACUUUUUGCCGAUCUGAAUCAAAAAAAAAAUCGAUUAAAAUAACCAAAUCUUGCAAUUCCCAACAAAUACUUUAGCUGUUACAACUGGUUGGAAAUUAUUUAUUAACAAAAAAAUUGAUUUAAACAACCAACUUAGUUUUAAUUUUCAACACGCAAUAUUCUUAAAAUCAACAAUAAAAUUAGUAGACACAACUCGUUUGAUGAGUUGAUCCAUAUGAUGUGUGUCUUUGCUAGCUGACAGCAUCGCAUUUUCAACUAGAUGCUUUAGUUGUUUCAGCCACCGUUUUGUUGACACAAACACAAAAAUGACAGUUUAGAAAAAUCGACAAUCGUUUAGCUGUACCAAAUUUUAACCAUUCGAUUUCAGAAAUUCGACUAGUAAUUUAGUUGCUAUGCGAUCGCGAGCGUUUCCGUGCGCCUUUUCUUUUUUAACGAGAAUAGAACAUAGCUUAAAUAAUCUACAGGGAUGCCAGGUAAUAUAUUUUUGAAAUCUGUGCGCAGCCUAUGUAAAAAAUUAAGCACGAAGUCAAAAGUAGAGAAAUCUUUGCUAGUCUGUGCAUUAUGACAGAAAACUGUACAAACCUGUGCAUUAAAACAGGAAAAUUGAAUGUUGAAAAUCUGAGAAACACAGAUUAACCUGGGCACUAGGCAUCCCUGUUUUGCAGUGAUUUUUGGUUUCUUUAUUAAAUAAUUCGCCUUUUCGUUUUUAACGGGAAUAGAAAUGUCAGCUGCAUAAAGCAGAAGAGAUUAAGACAUAUGGAGUGUAUAUGCCGCUGCUGACACUGAUCAGACAUUGACUCGAUAUCACGUACACUGAAGCUAAAAAGGAUAAGGAUUUCAUGAGUUAUAACUUAUGAACCGGCACAAUUCUUGAUAAACAUAUGAUUACGGCUUAAAAGCCAACUGUCAAAGUGCUCUUUGAAUGGAAAUUCUGGACACACCGUUAGUGGCCAAACACACUUCACAGCAGUUAAUGAAAAGGAAACUUUUGUUUACUACCAUCAACAUCUGUGAUUGGCGAGUAACGGUUUAUCCGGAAUUUCCACUCAAAGUGAAUUUUGGCAGUUAAAUUUUAAUCCGUAAUCAUAUGUUUGUCGAGAGUUGUAUUUUAAUAACCGGUAUAUGAUUUUCAUAAUUUCGUCUUAUUGAAUUCAAGGAUGUGGCUUAAGAUUAUUAUAAAGUUAUUGUGAAAACGGCAUAAUUUAAAAAUAAUGGAAUUUUAUAGUUGGGUGGAAAAUAAUCGUAAAAAUGAAAAAGUAUCCAUUUACUUAUUGUGCAAUUGUGUAAUAUAUUUAUUACAUAUUCUCCAGAAGCUAGAUAAUCGGACAAUAGAAGCUGUUGAUAUGGACUUCAAACCGACUACCAGUGCUUCUGGAAUCUGGCAUCCAGCAGCAGUAGUUUUGUGCUCAAUUUCAGCGAAAUCUUAAACUCCAGUA